AGCAGUCGCCGCGGGAAUACGGAGGGUGUAAGCGUUAAUCGGAAUUACUGGGCGUAAAGCGCACGCAGGCGGUUUGUUAAGUCAGAUGUGAAAUCCCCGAGCUUAACUUGGGAACUGCAUUUGAAACCGGCAAGCUAGAGUCUUGUAGAGGGGGGUAGAAUUCCAGGUGUAGCGGUGAAAUGCGUAGAGAUCUGGAGGAAUACCGGUGGCGAAGGCGGCCCCCUGGACAAAGACUGACGCUCAGGUGCGAAAGCGUGGGGAGCAAACAGGAUUAGAGACCCCUGUAGUCCCUGUCUCUUAUAC
rnacentral:rRNA from 1 species